rnacentral:rRNA from 1 species
GACGAACGCUGGCGGCGUGCUUAGCACAUGCAAGUCGAACGGAAAGGCCCUGCUUUUGUGGGGUGCUCGAGUGGCGAACGGGUGAGUAACACGUGAGUAACCUGCCCUUGACUUUGGGAUAACUUCAGGAAACUGGGGCUAAUACCGGAUAGGAGCUCCUGCUGCAUGGUGGGGGUUGGAAAGUUUCGGCGGUUGGGGAUGGACUCGCGGCUUAUCAGCUUGUUGGUGGGGUAGUGGCUUACCAAGGCUUUGACGGGUAGCCGGCCUGAGAGGGUGACCGGCCACAUUGGGACUGAGAUACGGCCCAGACUCCUACGUGAGGCAGCAGUGGGGAAUAUUGCACAGUGGGCGGAAGCCUGAUGCAGCAACGCCGCGUGCGGGAUGACGGCCUUCGGGUUGUAAACCGCUUUCGCCUGUGACGAAGCGUGAGUGACGGUAAUGGGUAAAGAAGCACCGGCUAACUACGUG